GACGAACGCUGGCGGCGUGCUUAACACAUGCAAGUCGAACGGAAAGGCCCUGCUUUUGUGGGGUGCCCGAGUGGCGAACGGGUGAGUAACACGUGAGUAACCUGCCCUUGACUUUGGGAUAACUUCAGGAAACUGGGGCUAAUACCGGAUAGGAGCUCCUGCUGCAUGGUGGGGGUUGAAAGUUUCGGCGGUUGGGGAUGGACUCGCGGCUUAAUCAGCUUGUUGGUGGGGUAUGGCUUACCAAGGCUUUGACGGUAGCCGGCAUGAGAGGGUGACCGGCCACAUUGGGACUGAGAUACGGCCCAGACUCCUACGGGAGCAGCAGUGGGGAAUAUUGCACAAUGGGCGGAAGCCUGAUGCAGCAACGCCGCGUGCGGGAUGACGGCCUUCGGGUGUAAACGCUUUCGCCUGUGACGAAGCGUGAGUGACGGUAAUGGGUAAAGAAGCACCGGCUAAC
rnacentral:rRNA from 1 species